rnacentral:snRNA from 1 species
GUGCUCAGUUCAGCAGCACAUAUACAAAAAUUGGAACGAUACAGAGAAGAUUAGCACGGCCCCUGCGCAAGGAUGACAUGCAAAUUUGUGAAGCGUUCCAUAUUUAA